rnacentral:rRNA from 1 species
CGCCCGUCCCCCUUCCCGUCCCGGCCCGACCUACUACGAACGUACCGUACCGGACGGACGAGCAGUGGGGUAAGUUUUGCGCAAGUGGGGAAACCCUGACGCAGCAACGCCGCGUGGAGGAUGAAGCCCUUGGGCGUAAACUCCUUUCGACUGGGAAAAUAAUGAUGGUACCACGUGGAAGAAGCACCGGCUAACUCUGUGCCAGCAGCCGGUAAUAC